UACGUAGGGUGCAAGCGUUGUCCGGAAUUAUUGGGCGUAAAGAGCUCGUAGGCGGUUUGUUGCGUCGGCUGUGAAAUCCCGAGGCUCAACCUCGGGUCUGCAGUCGAUACGAGCAAACUAGAGUGUUGCAGGGGAGACUGGGAAUUCCUGGUGUAGCGGUGAAAUGCGCAGAUAUCAGGAGGAACACCGGUGGCGAAGGCGGGUCUCUGGGCAACAACUGACGCUGGAGGAGCGAAAGCGUGGGGAGCGAACAGG
rnacentral:rRNA from 1 species